CGGCAACCUUGUCGGUGUAUCGUAAGUUCUAAAGCCAAAAUAAAUCCUUGAAGGAAAUCAGUGACAGUAGAUAGUAACUUCGUAGUGUCAAUUGAUUAUAAGGAAAAAGAAACUGAUACAAACAUGCUUAUAGUUUUAGAACAAUGCCACUAACUUUGAAAUCAUAUGUCACAAAAUAAUGUACCGUUACAUUUUUUUCAGGACCUAUAACUUGCAGGGCUACAUAGACAGGCUUGAUGAACAUGUUACCAAGUUGGCUGAGCAACUAAACAGUUGCAAAUUGCAAAUAGGUUAACAAAUUAAUUGUUGUUCCUUCAAUAUGUCCCUUGCAGGUUAAUUUGAACUCAAAUAAUAAUCAAUUAAAGCUAAUCUCCAUUUGUUACAGGCCACGUGGACGACUACUUUAACCGCAGGAAAAUUUUUGACAAGCCUAAGGACAUUGUUGAUCUGUUGAAGGCUUUGAUCCACAGAAAUGGAGCUCAGGGUCCCCAGAUAUUUGAAGGCGGUGUCAUCGUUAAGCAGGUUAGUUUAACUACAUGCAUUAACUAUGUGUUCAUUUUUUAAAAUUGAAUUGAGUUUUGAUACUUUCGCAUCCCAUUCUCUCGAGAGCAGGGUCUUGAAGUGUUCAGACAGAAACAUGUGUUGCUGUUUAUUUCGGGCCUCAACAGCAUUGUAGAUGAGAUUUUGCUUCUCAAUUCAAUCUACAACAGGUUGCAGGACAAUCCAACAGAAGUGAUCAAAGGCUUCAAGAAGGAAGACUUCAAGAUUCUGUGGGUCCCCAUGGUGGACAGGUGGGACGAAGCCAGCAGGGAACAAUAUUUAAACACUUGGAAGAGGGGAAUCAAAUGGUACAUAGUGGAGUACUUCUUUGAAUUACCAGGACGCAGGAUAAUAACAGAUCCUGAAAGAUUGGGUUAUGAGGGUAAUCCUAUUAUCCCAGUGUUCAACCCUCAAGGAAUGUUGACGAAUGACAAUGCCAUGGACUUGAUUUUCCAGUGGGGAAUAGAUGCAUUCCCUUUUAGGAAGAGUGAUGGUAUUGAUCUUACUCUAAAGUGGAAGUGGCUUUGGGACAUAAUAAAAAAAGCAACUCCUGGACUACAGGUAUAUAAUAAGCUCACAUUAUCAACAUAUAAACAAUACACAUUUUAACAGAAUAAAAAUGUUCUGUCUCCCAGUAUGUGUCUCAUUUCUUGUCUAGUCAAUGAGAUUUUGACAAGUCAACUAAAAAGACACCUGAUAUAGAUCCAUGAGGCGGUUGCCCAUUUAGAUAGGUGGUUUUCAACUGACAUGACACGAUUUAAUUAGUGUGACAGGAAAAUGAGACAUUAAUUGAGGAUAGAAAAUUUCUAUCUAUUUCAACAUUGUUUUGAUGUCUAAUUAAUUUAUUACUUCCGAAUUAUAAUUUAUGAUAUCCAUGUAUAUGAUAUUUUGUAUUUUGAUAUCUAUUUACAGGUCAAAGUGGACAGAUACAUCUUCAUCUUUGGAAGCACCAACAAUAAGUGGAUCCAAGACUUCACAAUUGAACUGGACAAGCUCAAAAGGAAUGAGACGGUCAAGCGUGCAGAUGUUAUAAUAGAGCAAUAUCAGCUGGGCAAGGAUGACCCUAACCGUGUUCCUAGCUUCUGGAUGGGUGUGGAAAGGAAGAAGCAGAACAAGAAGCAUCAAGAGGCAGUGGACUGUGAGAUUCAGGGGAUUGUGAAGAGCUUGUUCUGCCUCAAAAGGGAUCCCCAAGGAUGGGUCAUUCUCAGCAAAGGCCAUAACAUCAAGCUUCUCGGUCAUGGCGAGGCUGUUUAUCAAACUGUGGUGGAGUUUCCGAAUUGGAAGGAGAAAGUGCUCGAGAGAGAAGGGUUUGACAUUGCCUUCAAAGAGUACUAUGACAUCAAGGCCAAAGAGAUCUCUGCUCGCCAACCAUGUGAGAUUAUCAAUGUUGAUAGCUAUAGUGCUAAUGUCAUAGCUACCAUAACAUGCCCAAAUCCUAUGUGUGGCCGUGUGAUGGAGGUGACUUCUGUUAAUUACAAGUGCUGCCACAGUGAUGCUCCAAAUGGUUUUGGCAUCUGAUUCAUGUGGAGGGAAGAAGUGUCAAUUUGGUUUUGUUGUUGUACUUGGAUGUUCUGUUCAAUUUUUCAGUUCUUGUUUGUUGACAGCAUGUGUCUGUCCAAACAAAUGCGUCUUUGUCAUGCCAUAGAAUAAACACUUGGUUUGCCCUUGAAUGGGUAUAUCAGUAAAACAAUGGCUUCAAUAUGCCUGUCUGCUAUUGAAGUUCAUGAUUAAAUAAAAUUAGUUAUGCAUUGUAUUUUCAGAAGUUGAACAAAUCUCCCUAUACCUAUACCCAUCCUCUUUCUUUUCGCACCAUUCGUACUUUGUGAUUCUAAGUGGUAAGAGCUACAUUGGUAUGAGAUUUGACUCCUUUAAAAUGAGGGUUUAUUAAUAUACUUAGAUAUGUAUAACAAAUCAUUGUGUUCUUCAAAGUUCAACAACCAUUGACUGUGAUGACUUACUUUACUCUCUAAAGUAAUUCUUUCACCGGAUUGAAUAUAUGUUACUAACCAAAGCUAAUUCAUUAUGGGAAUCCUUUAACCAAUACCAAAUGAAUUGCAAGAAAAAUUAGCAACAAUUAUCUAGCUAUAUAACUUAACAUGCAUCAAGACUAGUAAUCUCUAAUCAUUCUCAAACUGGAAUCAAGAUUAUCAACUCAUCUUAACAUAACUCAGAACACAUCCAUCACCAAACUCAGGGAACAAGGAUAAUAGAAAUUUCCAUAAAUUUUGAAAUUAUCCUUAGAACAAGGAAUAAGGUUGAUCUAACCAGACCAAAUGAAAAAGCUAAAUUUAACACAGAUUUUGUGCAAAACGAAGCAAUAAUAAUCCUGAUUCAUUAUGAAUCGCUCAUACCAAAGCUUACCUUGUAUGUUUUCGCACAAGAGAAAAAGAGAGAAUUGAGUUUCCUGAAAGGUGCGCAAAUAGCUUUGUCUCCGUCCAGAAUCUUCACGCGACCUCCGUCUCCGUCCUGAUUCCGGCUGCACAGUUGCUGCGCGGUGGCCAAAUGGUGGUGGUUCGCGGUGGUUACAGCAAUGGUGGUGGUUCCGGUACGUCAAGGUUUCAAGGGGAGACAAGGGUUUCGCGCGCCAAUGAAAUUUCAC
rnacentral:lncRNA from 1 species